GCUCCGGUGGCCUAGUGGUUAGAGCGUCCGCCUCGGAUGCGGGAGGUCGUGGGUUCGAUCCCCGGCCGAGUCA